rnacentral:misc_RNA from 1 species
CUCUGGAAUAUUUUCCUCCGUGGCUUCAUUCUCUACACCUUCAUUCAGCUGAUUCUCUAGUUUCAUCUUCUUUUCCUGUUCCUCCUUCAUUUUUUUCUUAGGAGAUUUUUUCUUGGAUGUUACAUCAUUUUCUUCUUUCUUUGUAGCCUUAACAUCGUGCAUAAGCAACUCUUCGUCAAGGACUUCCUCCACUUUCAUGGAACUGCCAUCAUGAGGAGACUCAGAAUCCGAUGACAACGUACAGACUGAAUGACUGG